rnacentral:lncRNA from 1 species
AUGAGUUGUAAACUCUUGUGACCCUCUGACCUUCUGAACCUUUAUUGAAUUUCUCUCUGUGCAGCUUAUUUGUCAGUGAGUCAUUGUGAUGUCAAACAAUAUCAUGUUCUUCUUGAAUCCACUUAAAUGUUUCCUGUCAUUUACAUUUUCACCUGGUCGUCCUCCAGGUGAACACCUUGAGAAUGAGAACCACUUUGCUUGCUUUUCCUAGUCUAUACAGGGCUCAAAGCAACAAUCUGUGCAUAUUUACAAAAGUGGAAAAUGAAGUAAGGUGAUCCAUACUGAAACUGGAAAAAUAAAUUCAGCCACGUUCAAUGAUUGACAGAAUUCAGGGUUUCCACCUGCACAUCAAGGUCUUCAGUGUUAGCUAAAUCUUACACAAAUAUCUUAACAUCCAAGGUGGUCUCACAAUAAAUUCUAAAAAGUUUUCCAAAUGAAAAAAGCCUAGCAACAGAAAGUGUGACCUCCAGAAGUCUUGAGUUUAAAAGUGAAGGCUGCCAAGAGAAGUGAGGCUGGGAGGACGCACACGGCUAAUCCCUGCGAGAUAGAAGAGCCGACCAAAGAUAGCACAGCUCGGCAGAGGAGAGGAUUUUCAACUUGAUCAUGGAAGCUGCUGACAACCAUCAGGCCUCAAUUAGGUUUGGAAUUUCACUUUGGAAUGGCUGAAGUUUACACUGCCAACUUCUCCCAACUUACACUUUUACUAAUUAUAUGAAUCCCAACAGUGGCCCAGUUGCAGUAGUGGUGAAAGCCACACACCUGGUGGUAAAAUAAGUCUCACCAAAAAACUACUCGAAGAAAGAAGAAAUGUUAUAAAAUAGCUAGUUGGACUUUUGAUUGGAAUUAUGAGUAUGUACACCUUAUUCUGAGGAGAGUUGUUAUCUUUUAAAAACUGAUUUAUCACCAGGAACAAGAUAUGUGAUUCCAAUUAUUCAUGUCUCAUUUUAUAUUUUACAAUAAAAUUCAGUUAUGCACUGAGUUAUGUACCCUCCCAAAUUAUGUUGGAACCUCAACCCUCAGUGUGACAGUAUUUGGAGUUGGGCCUUUAAGGAGGUGUUCAAAGUUCAGUGAGGUCAUAGUGUGAGGCCCCAAUUCAAUACAACUGAUGUCCUUAUCAGAAGAGGAAGCACUCUCUCUGUCCUGUCUUUCUCCAUCCGCAUGCACACAAUAAAGAAAGGCCAUCUCUGGAGGGAUAACAAUGAACAAGACUAGUAAGAUCCUUGACCUCUGAAGCUACAUUUUAUUAGCAGAGUGAAGCAAUAAAAAACAAACAAAAAAUAAAAUGAACAAAGAAAGAAGAUAUUGGACACUGAGAAAUGCAGUGAAGAAAAUAAGCCAGGGUAAAGUGAUAGACAAUUGCUUGGGAAUGGGAAAGACAGUGUUUGAUAGCAAGAGCAGUGUGAAAGUGACAGCUGAGUUGAAACUCGAGUGAAGAGAAGGACCCAGCCCCGUGAAAAUCAGGAUGGAGAAUCAUCCAUGCAGAGAGGAGAGAAAGUGUAGUGUCUCUGAGAUGGGACAAGCUCUUCAUGAAGCCAGCUUCACCUAAAACAAGAGAGUUGAAGAAUCACAUGCGACGAAAUCAGUGUGGAUAUAUCCUAAGUGUGAUGGGAAGGCGGUAUAAUACGAUGUUAACUAUUAAUUGGAAGUGACUAGAUGGUUGCAAAUAAUGGAGUGACAUGUUCUGAUUAAACUCUAAGAGGUUCUUUUUGACUGUCAUUGGAAAAAAUGGAUUAUUGAGAGACAGUUGUGGAACAUGAGUAGCUACCACCAUAGUCCAAUCAGGAAUGAUGGUGGAAAUUAAAGUGGGGCUUGCAACUGAUGUGAAGAAAAAUGAAGAGGGUCACAUUAUCUUUGGGAGACGAAGUUAUCAGCAUUGGCUGCUGGAUCAGAUACUGGGGAAAGUGAGGGAAAAAGAGGUAUCGGCUGAUUCCUUUGUUGGGGGGUCUUAGUGCCGAGUACUAAGAUGCCUAACACAGCAGAAGGAUCAGGUGUGGAAAUUGAGUGGAAUCAUGAAUACUGUUUUAGAUAUACUAGAUUUGAGACGUAUGCCAUUUAUCCAAAUAUAGAUGUCAGACAAUCACAAUCAUGCUCAUAAUUAUCAUCGAGUACUUAGUACUUGCCAGACACUGUUUUUGAUCCUUUACAUAGAUGAAUUCUUUUCCUAACAAUAAACCAGUGAAGUAGAUAUUAUUCACAACUCCAUAAUACAGAUGAGGAGAUAGGCACAGAAUUAAAUAACUUGCCCACGUUCACACUGUUAGCAUACAUUAGAGAUCAGAUGAGCUCUCAGCCAGUCUAGUUCCCAAGGCCUUGUUUCUAUACCACUAAGCUAUCCCUUUCUGUUUAAAAAGAAAGGAUAAAAAGUAAAUGUGAUAUAAAUGUGUAAGUCAUGGAAGAAAUAGAAAGUGAAUUUGGAGUUGUUAGAAUAUAAAUAGUAAACAGAAAAGAGAAGAUGGUCUGUGACUGAAUCUGGGCACCAAAUACAUAGAAGUCAGUUACAGGAGGAGGAACAAGUAAGGGACAGGAAGAUGGAGCACCAGGGAGGUGGAGGAAAACCAGAGACUGAGUGAUUCCAGAAGCUCAAGGAGUCAAGGUUAUUGAAUGCCGUGAGAUGCUGAGGUAGGUGGCAGUAGACAGUGACCACUGGGUUUGGCAAGAUUGUAGCUGUUGGAAACCUUUACUUAGGAAGUUUUAGUGUGGAGAACAAAAGCCCAACUGAAGUGAGGUGAGGAGAAAAAGGGGCUAUAAGGAGCUGGGACAGUCACUGCAGAAAACUUGCGGAGCUUUGUUCUUCAGGAGGGGAGUGGAGAUGUAGUAUUACCUUUGUGGAGGGCAGGUGGGUCUGUAUCCCUAGGGAUGCUGCAACUAAUUACCACAAACUUUGUGGCUUAAAAAGAAGAAAUGUAUUCCUUCACAUUCCUGGAGGCCAGAAGUGUGAAAUCAAGAAGUCUGCUGUUUUCCCUCCAAAAGUUUUAGGAGAGAACCCUUCCUGGUUUCUUCCAGUUUCUGGUGGCUCCAGGCAUUCUUUGGCUUGUGGUUGCAUAACUCCAGUCUCUGCCCUAGAUUCAACAGACACUUCAAGGACUUCUUUAUAUUUCUCUCCUCUGUGUGUCUCUUAUAAGGAUGCUUGCCAUUGGAUUCAGGGCCUGUGGGGAUAGUCCAAGAUGAUCUCAUCUGGAGAUCAGUAGCUUAAUUACAUCUGCAAAGACUUUUUUCCAAAUAAGAUCACAUUCACAUGUUCUAAAGAUUAGGAUGUGGACACAUCUUUUUGGAGGAAUAUCAUUCAAUCCACUACAGAGGGUAUAAGAUCAAAAGAGGGCCUUUUUUUUUUUUAAGGUGAGAGUGACUAAAGUAUUUUUCUAUGCUGGUAGAAAUUUUCCACUAAGGAGGGAAACAUUUGGGAAAUGGUAGAAAGUGGAGAUAUCACACAUGGGAAAUCAAUGAUGAGGUAAGAAGAUAUAGGAUUCCCAGCCCUGAUGGAAAGAUCUUUUUCUUAAUUCUAGCAGGGACUUAUUGGCUGUGGGUUCAGGUAAGGGAGGAGGUUUGGUAGUAGAAGGAUGAGGGAGUUUGUGUGUGCAUACAUUUAUUUUUCUCCAAUGAAACAAGAAACAAGUUUGUAGAUUCAAGUUAUCAGAAAUAGAGAUAUUUAAAGUUUGAAGACUGAGUGGAUAGUCUGAAAUAUUUUUAACGGAGGACAAUAAAGAGAUCUUCCUAGGAGCAUAGAUUGAGCUUGUCAAGUCCGCUUGAGAACUGUGGUCGUGAAUCAGUAAUUAGACCCGUUAACAUAUUUCUCCAGCAACAGUUAGCUGGUCAAGUGCAGGUGGACGUUAGGAGGAUAUUUGGGUAAACCAAGAUUAUGGUUUUUCCAAGUGGUUAUAUUGGAGGGUGAAAGGGACAAGGGAUAAAUAGUAUUGGCUUAUGAGAGAUUAUAGGUAUUGACCAUGCAAUUUUCACUAGUUAAGGAAUAAAAUUAGGGAAGUGGGCGAUGGAUAGUGAGAACACUGUAAGGACAAUAAUUUGGAGUUCUCAGUUUGGUUGAAGAAUCGCUGGUGUGGGGAUGGUACAAUAAUUCAAUUGAAAAUCUAAAGUUGUGGUCAAUGGGAAAGAUGCUUGAAAUUGAGACUUCUGAG